GCCAUUGGAGAGAAAGUAUCCUGAUAGUUAAUACCUUCGUGCUAACUAUAAUCUUUUAUCACAAGCUUAGCUUUAUAGGUCUCUACCUUACCAUCUGUACCUAUUUUUUUUAUAGAUCCAUUUAUACCCCCUGGAUACUCUACCCUCUAGUAGAUGUUAGGUUUCGGUCAUGCAGUGGAAUAUGAAUUUCAAAAAUUUUUAACAUGCAUAAAAAGAGUUUUAACACUUGAAA
rnacentral:lncRNA from 1 species